rnacentral:lncRNA from 1 species
GAAACAUUCUAUGGCUUGGAUGACUUACAUUUCAAAUUGGUUUGAGCAAGAUGAUUGGUAUGAAGGACUACAAAGAGCAAACAUGUCCCAGGUAAGGCAAGUGGGAUUGCUGGCUGCUGGAUGUCAGCCAUGGAACAAGGAUGUAUGUGCUGCCAGUGGAGACAGGUUUGCAUAUUGUGCGACCCUGGCUAUCUAUAUUUAUCAGGGAUCCCUGCUUCUCUUAGUUGGUGCUGGAAUGCAGAGGAUGUGGUGGCAUUUGUUUCCCACAGAGGCCCACUGUUCAUUUGGACCAUCUCAGGACCAGAUAGUGGAGUGAUUGUACACAAAGAUGCUCAUAGCUUCUUGUCUGAUAUCUGUAUGUUCAGAUGGCAUACACACCAAAAGGGGAAAGUUGUGUUUGGUCAUAUUGAUGGAAGUCUAUCAAUUUUUCAUCCAGGUAAUAAAAAUCAGAAACAUGUUUUGAGAC